UCGAGGGGCAGCAUCAUCAAAGCUUGCUUUGAUGGAUGGCGACCGGCGCACGGGUGAGUAACACGUAUCCAACCUGCCGACAACACUGGGAUAGCCUUUCGAAAGAAAGAUUAAUACCGGAUGGUAUAGUUUUCCCGCAUGGGAUGAUUAUUAAAGAAUUUCGGUUGUCGAUGGGGAUGCGUUCCAUUAGGCAGUUGGCGGGGUAACGGCCCACCAAACCUACGAUGGAUAGGGGUUCUGAGAGGAAGGUCCCCCACAUUGGAACUGAGACACGGUCCAAACUCCUACGGGAGGCAGCAGUGAGGAAUAUUGGUCAAUGGACGAGAGUCUGAACCAGCCAAGUAGCGUGAAGGAUGACUGCCCUAUGGGUUGUAAACUUCUUUUAUACGGGAAUAAAGUGAGCCACGUGUGGCUUUUUGUAUGUACCGUAUGAAUAAGGAUCGGCUAACUCCGUGCCAGCAGCCGCGGUAAUACGGAGGAUCCGAGCGUUAUCCGGAUUUAUUGGGUUUAAAGGGAGCGUAGGCGGGUUGUUAAGUCAGUUGUGAAAGUUUGCGGCUCAACCGUAAAAUUGCAGUUGAUACUGGCGACCUUGAGUGCAACAGAGGUAGGCGGAAUUCGUGGUGUAGCGGUGAAAUGCUUAGAUAUCACGAAGAACUCCGAUUGCGAAGGCAGCUUACUGGAUUGUAACUGACGCUGAUGCUCGAAAGUGUGGGUAUCAAACAGGAUUAGAUACCCUGGUAGUCCACACAGUAAACGAUGAAUACUCGCUGUUGGCGAUAUACAGUCAGCGGCCAAGCGAAAGCA
rnacentral:rRNA from 1 species